GUCGGGAAUUUUGGGCAAUGGGCGAAAGCCUGACCCAGCAACGCCGCGUGAGGGAUGAAGUAUUUCGGUAUGUAAACCUCGAAAGAAUGGGAAGAAUAAAUGACGGUACCAUUUAUAAGCUCCGGCUAACUACGUGCCAGCAGCCGCGGUAAUACGUAGGGAGCAAGCGUUGUUCGGAUUUACUGGGCGUAAAGGGCGCGUAGGCGGCGCGGUAAGUCACUUGUGAAAUCUCUGAGCUUAACCCAGAACGGCCAAGUGAUACUGCUGUGCUAGAGUGCGGAAGAGGCAACCGGAAUUCUUGGUGUAGCGGUGAAAUGCGUAGAUAUCAAGAGGAACACCUGAGGCGAAGGCGGGUUGCUGGGCCGACACUGACGCUGAUGCGCGAAAGCCAGGGGAGCAAACG
rnacentral:rRNA from 1 species